rnacentral:rRNA from 1 species
UACAGAGGGGGCAAGCGUUAUUCGGAAUUAUUGGGCGUAAAGGGCGCGUAGGCGGCUUGGCAAGUGGAAGGUGAAAUCCCUCGGCUUAACCGAGGAACUGCCCUCCAAACUGCUUUGCUUGAGGCCGGGAGAGGCGAGUGGAAUUCCCAGUGUAGCGGUGAAAUGCGUAGAUAUCAGGAGGAACACCAAUUGCGAAGGCAGCUCGCUGGGACGUAACUGACGCUG